rnacentral:rRNA from 1 species
AACGAACGCUGGCGGCAUGCCUAACACAUGCAAGUCGAACGAGACCUUCGGGUCUAGUGGCGCACGGGUGCGUAACGCGUGGGAAUCUGCCCUUGGGUUCGGAAUAACAGUGAGAAAUUACUGCUAAUACCGGAUGAUGUCUUCGGACCAAAGAUUUAUCGCCCAGGGAUGAGCCCGCGUAGGAUUAGCUAGUUGGUGGGGUAAUGGCCUACCAAGGCGACGAUCCUUAGCUGGUCUGAGAGGAUGAUCAGCCACACUGGGACUGAGACACGGCCCAGACUCCUACGGGAGGCAGCAGUGGGGAAUAUAGGACAAUGGGCGCAAGCCUGAUCCAGCAAUGCCGCGUGAGUGAUGAAGGCCUUAGGGUUGUAAAGCUCUUUUACCCGGGAUGAUAAUGACAGUACCGGGAGAAUAAGCUCCGGCUAACUCCGUG